UUUGUAAGGCCUGAUAAAAAUCUUCCACAAUGGACGCAAGUCUGAUGGAGCAACGCCGCGUGAGUGAAGAAGGGUUUCGGCUCGUAAAGCUCUGUUGUUAAAGAAGAACGUGGGUGAGAGUAACUGUUCACCCAGUGACGGUAUUUAACCAGAAAGCCACGGCUAACUACGUGCCAGCAGCCGCGGUAAUACGUAGGUGGCAAGCGUUAUCCGGAUUUAUUGGGCGUAAAGCGAGCGCAGGCGGUCUUUUAAGUCUAAUGUGAAAGCCUUCGGCUCAACCGAAGAAGUGCAUUGGAAACUGGGAGACUUGAGUGCAGAAGAGGACAGUGGAACUCCAUGUGUAGCGGUGAAAUGCGUAGAUAUAUGGAAGAACACCAGUGGCGAAGGCGGCUGUCUGGUCUGUAACUGACGCUGAGGCUCGAAAGCAUGGGUAGCGAACAGGAUUAGAUACCCUGGUAGUCCAUGCCGUAAACGAUGAUUACUAAGUGUUGGAGGGUUUCCGCCCUUCAGUGCUGCAGCUAACGCAUUAAGUAAUCCGCCUGGGGAGUACGACCGCAAGGUUGAAACUCAAAAGAAUUGACGGGGGCCCGCACAAGCGGUGGAGCAUGUGGUUUAAUUCGAAGCUACGCGAAGAACCUUACCAGGUCUUGACAUCUUCUGCCAACCUAAGAGAUUAGGCGUUCCCUUCGGGGACAGAAUGACAGGUGGUGCAUGGUGUCGUCAGCUGCGUUCGU
rnacentral:rRNA from 1 species